rnacentral:rRNA from 1 species
AUUGAACGCUGGCGGCAUGCCUAACACAUGCAAGUCGAACGGAAACGAUGGAAGCUUGCUUCCAGGCGUCGAGUGGCGGACGGGUGAGUAAUACUUAGGAAUCUGCCCAUUAGUGGGGGACAACUCGGGGAAACCCGAGCUAAUACCGCAUACGCCCUACGGGGGAAAGCGGGGGAUCUUCGGACCUCGCGCUAAUGGAUGAGCCUAAGUCGGAUUAGCUUGUUGGUGAGGUAAAAGCUCACCAAGGCGACGAUCCGUAGCUGGUCUGAGAGGACGAUCAGCCACACUGGGACUGAGACACGGCCCAGACUCCUACGGGAGGCAGCAGUGGGGAAUAUUGGACAAUGGGGGAAACCCUGAUCCAGCAAUGCCGCGUGUGAAGAAGGCCUGCGGGUUGUAAAGCACUUUCAGUAGAGAAGAAAAGCCUAUGGUUAAUAUCCGUGGGUCUUGACGUUACCUACAGAAGAAGCUCCGGCUAACUCCGUGCCAGCAGCCGCGGUAAUACGGAGGGAGCGAGCGUUAAUCGGAAUUACUGGGCGUAAAGCGCGCGUAGGCGGCUUUGUUAGUCGGAUGUGAAAGCCCUGGGCUCAACCUGGGAAUUGCAUUCGAAACUGCAGAGC